GAUUAUAUAUUACAGCAUGUGUUACUAUAUUCUAAAACUGAACUAGAAAGAAUAAUAAUGGCUUCAAUGAGGUAUUUGCUUAUUUGGGUGAUUCUCUUUCUCUGUGUUUUGAGUUUUUCUACCAAACCAUCAGCAAGGAACAUUCCUAAUGUUUCUAAAUUAAACUCUGAUUUAUAUGAAAUGAGUAUGAAAAGACUCCUUGGCCAAGGUAAUCGACGACCUAAAUGUAAGAGGGGGAGAUUUACUUAUGCUGUGAGUGUGAGUCGCUUGAGGCAAGAUCAACCACGUUGCCAUAAUUAUUGAUGAGAUCUGUUGUUGAUUUGUAAUUAAAUUGCAGAAGAAUAAUUAUUCUCGUUAAAAAAAUUUGGAGACCACUAGUUAUUUGUGAUUCUACUUUUUACGGCCAAUUUUAUUUGAAUGGUAAUGAAAACUGCUGAAACUAUUAUGGGAAAAA